UCUGUGGACUUCCUGCUCUGUGCUUUGUGGCUUUGAAGCAGAGAGUUCUUGCUCGUUGGCAAAACUGUCAUCGUUGCCCUGGGACAGCGUUGCUCAACCUUGGCAACUUUACGAUCUUAAAGACCACAGGUCUUAAAGUUGCCAAGAUUGAGAAACGCUGCCCUGGGAAAUGCGCACUCUCAGCUUACCGAUCACAAGGGCAACCUAAAUGUGAUUCGCGAGGUUGUGGUUCUAGCAGGUUAUGUGAGCCCAAGCCCUGGCUGUGUUUGCACAACUCGGCUGGAGCUGCUCGGGCAGUGUAUUCACACCCCUGGCUAAAACAGGGCCCGGUGCCAAUCGCAGGUUGUUAGAUGUGGGAUCCUUCACAAAAGGAUUGAGAGGAAUCCGUUGGCACGUCCAGAAACAGCAAGAGGAGCUAAGUCCCCAUCUUUCUUCCCAGGAGGGCGCAGCUGCCCCGUCUCCCGCCGGGCAGCUCACCGGCAUGGCACCGGGCUGAAAAAGCGAGGCUUUAAAGGGAUCGUGGGUUGCCGCUCCCGUCUGCAGAUAUCGAUGAAGAUGUGAUAGCUGGGAAGCAGAAGGCGAGGGAGAAGGCGCCCACGAAGACCGCCCUGGCCCACGUGGUUGCAGGGGGACGUUUUGUGAAACAAAUGGCCUGUUGCUGCAAGCGCGUCUGGCCUUGGAACGUUUUCGUGGCCACUCCUCCUGCUUAACGACGGUUGUGUACUCACAGCACGGGAAGCAAAGCUAAACUAAGAAAGCUUUAGGGCUGUUUGGGAAUCCUGGGCUUGUUGUCUGCAAUCAACCUUGGGAACAAAACUCAGCUUCCCAAAUCGCUGCUCCUAAAUCCUGGCCAUUUCAGGUUCAGCGCUGUGGCAGGCCGACUCCCGGGGCUGACAUGAUGGGGGAUAAAACGGCUCGUUAAACCAAACUUCUGCACUUCGUGUGCCACGCGAGCCUAACGGGAGAGUAAACAUUGAAGGGGCAGAGCUUUCAAGUCCAGGUUUGACCCCCCCCACACUUCCCCUUUCCUUGUCAGUGAAAAAUUGGUUCCUUUAUUCUUUGAUUCAGAAUCCAGAUAAUGAGUGUCAGAUCCAUAUUCAUAUGGGAGAAAAUGUCUCUAGUGUAACUGAGAUUAAGAGGAAUAAUAAAUACAUGUAAUAGUAGAUAUAAUAGUAAUGGACUAACGCUCGAUCAAGAUGGAAUAAUAAAAAUGAAGCUUCGGGCUGCAGAAUUGAGUGUAUAAUGGAAUAUGAUUUAUUAUGUUAUUACAUGAUAAAGUGAGCUUUGAAGGCACUUAUGGGCAGAUGGUCCUCUGUGCAGAAAUCUGUAGCUAAUUGCAUUUUUGCCUUUAUUUGUUUGUUUUAUUAAAAUUAUGCUGUUUUUGUUUCUGUUAGCUCUGCGGAGUGCUGCUUUUGGUAGAAAUAUGGGAAUCUGACUCCUUUAUGUUGAGUUACCACAGCACAGGAGAGCCCUGGUUUCUCCAGAAUCAAACCAUGGUCAUCCGUCUUGCAUCCGGACUCAAGGAUUGCCAAAAAGUAAUCUGAAAAUUUGAAAAAUCUGAUAGCUCAGGUUUGGAACAGAAAAAGGGGAAGGAAUUGUACAACACAAAAUACAUCUGAACAGAACAAGCCAACUUUUACCUCUUAGCAAAGCCUUCCUUGACCAGGAGACCUCCAGAUGCUGGGUGGCACUUCUAUAAGCUGCAGCAUGUGUGGACUUCAGCCCCUAGAAUUCCCUGGUUGAAGUCCAUACCUCUUAAAGUUGCCAAGGUUGAGAAACAUUGGUUUAUGACAUUUUCCACUAGAUCAGCAUCUCCCACUAGAUCCUGUCUGACUCCACCUUCAGGCCAGUAUCUCAACGUUCACUUACUAGACUGCUGGGUUUCCUUUUGCUUCCCUUUGGGAUGAGCUUGGCACUGAUAAAAUCUUUGAACAAAAUGUCAAGGGAAAGAGCUCAGUGUUUCCAAGAGUCUUCUUGUGUGAGAUGUUGUGAAUGUUGUGAGCGGGGGGAGGGGGAGAAGGGAAAAAAACAAUACAAAUCACUUUUCAAUAGCUCUGUUUACAUUGCAUGCUAAGCCACCCUUCGCUUAACUAGAGUUCACUGAAUGGACCUGAGUCUGGGUUCAUGCUGUGACUGUAUCCUAAACCGUACAAUAUUCCCCAGGCUGGAGUCCUCCAAAGGGGUUGGCAUCACCAUUCCCAGAAUUCUCCAAAUGGAGUAUAACAGCUUGGAAAAGGCUACCAUGAACCAUGGCUUUGUUUUGGGGAACUUGCUAAGCUAAAACCAAGGGAAUGUCAGGACUGCAUCCAAACGGUCUUCUGAUGAGAGGGAGGAGGUGAUGCCCCAACUGUCAGCCUUUUGAGAUGCACCAGGUCAAGAAUCAGACACUGUGGGGACUCCAGGAAUGCAACCUUAUUGUUGUAGGGUCGAGUACCAGAAUCUUGAAAGCCUGUCCAAAUUCCCCUCUGACCCACCUUAUAUUAAGCAAAAUCGAGGCAACUUUGAGUUUCUUUCUCACCCUUCCUUCUAUCUCAGGACUGUUUAAUCUCUUACCCAAGUCUCUCCUUAAUGGCUCGCUCAUACCUUCUCCAAGGUCAGUUCUGAAUUCUUUUACACCUGCAGAACCAGGACCUGGGGAGGGGGGAGGAGGUGGUGGCAAACACUUCCCCAGGAACAGGAACAUCUGGAGAUCAGGAGCUGUGAGAACCUGUGUCUUCUCCUGUGGCUAGGAGCUGCCAGAACCAGGAUUGGUCUGGCUGACCAACCUUGCGGUGCCCAACAGAUUCAAGAAGUUUCCUCCCGGCUCCCUUUGCUGUUUGCGUUCGAACCCCUUGCCUUGCCUUUGGCAUCCUGAAUCUCCACAACGUGCUUCCUGACCCACGAGACACAAGCGUUUGGAGCAUCUUCCAGCAUCUUCUUGCUCCUCCCUCAGGCUUAACCACCGCCUGAGUAUCCUGACGUGACCUGGCCGCAGACCUGCAAUGCUUCUCGCAAGCUGCUUUCCUUCCCUGUCUCUCAGCGUCUCGCUUUUUGGCUCCACUCGCCUCCAGACCAGCCACUUCUCUGCCAGAGGCAAUUUAUAGCUACAACUGCUAUAAAACAGGACCAAUAAUCCCAUUUUGGCUUAGUUUCAUGCGUCACCCUUGCUAUUAAGAAAUCAGGUUGAUCUGGCACAGCCGUUUUUCAGGGCUAGAUCUCCUCAGCUUAGAAAUGCCUCUUUCACUGGAUCAGUUAAAAGGGUGGCCCAAUUCUAAUGGGGGUGGGGGGGAAGUCCUGCAAAGAUGAACCACUUCAACAGAAAAAAAAAAGGCCAACUAUACUUUUUAUGUCCUCUCUUUUCUCCAGAUACAUUUGCCUGGCUGGCUAAGAAACGAAGAAACGUGCCCGUUGCACGUUCUCAGGUUCUUGAUGACAUAAAGGAUCUUUUAAUGGCCUUCAGUCUCCCCAUUUUACUAGGGCUACCAGAGCUGGACUGCAGAAAUAUGAAUGGCCAUUAGAUGGCAGCAAAGAGAUGCAGACCAUUCUGACUCUUUGUUGCCAUCCAGCGAUUGCAGUCCGAAUCUGGUAACUGCAGCCUUAUCUCAUCCCUUGUUUAUUGAUGCAUCUGUUCAUGUUUUUCUUCUGAAUCACAUUCAUGGUAGGGUUGUGUUGUUGCAAGUGACCUUGAGACUGGCUCAGGGUGUGGCAGAAAUUUUCUAAAUAAAAAUGGGUGGCAGUCCUGAGGAAUACAAAGGAGAGCACCAGAGCAAACCUCAGGAAGAGCUUUUUCAAGUCAGUCCAACGCACGAGGCUUUUGAAUAUUGUUUGGACUUCCCAGAACAGCCCAUAAAGAACAUUCUUGGACUCCGUGCUGCCUCUGUUACUUAACUGGUACUACCUCGAAAGGCUGGCAGCUAUUUCAAGUUGCCAUUCGGUGAUCACUCGUGUAGUGCAGAAUAUGGUCCAUCAUUCACACCCUGAACCAGAGUGAGUCCUCCUCAGCCUGGCUGGGAAGUAUGGAAGUUAAAGAUCAGCACCCCGCUGGAGAUCAUCAGUUGAAGAAAGCUGAUUGAAGGGAGUGAGAGACAUUCGUUUCCCCCCUAAAGCUUUUUCUUGAGUUUGAGAGCAGAAUUUGAACAGGACUUUUGGAAGGGAAACUCAGAGCAGGUGGGAGAUACCAGCUGAUUGCCCCCCCCAUCUCAGCCCCCGUGUCCAUUUGCUCAAAGUUGUGUCUUUUAUUUCCUUUUUACCUCUUCUGACUAUAGUAGUAAAGUGUAGUGUAGUAAAAUCAGCUCUGGAUGCAGGGAGAAAAAUCACACCUGUUAAUUGUUCAGAGGAACAGAAAUCGCCUGUGGGCAGGUAAGCAAAUACGGGCACAGCUUGUAUUCCUAAAAUCUUUAAUAAUUUAGUGCCAGCCCGUGUGUUAAGUGAUUUGUUUUCUUCCUAGUCUUCAACGGCUAGUCCUCAAGGACACCUGAAAGGGGCUGUGUUUCCAAUGUCAGAUCCAGGGACUCGUUUCGCAUUUGGCUUUCAUGCCAUAUCAAGAGUAUACAGUAUAUGUGUUUAGGGUGGAUCUGCUUUGGAUAUCCACGAAGGUGUGAAGCCCAGAAUGACACGGAGUGGAAAGAAGACUUUCAGACAGGAAAAGCACAGCAAAAGAAUCCUGUAGGAGUUGUAGAAACUAAAAUACUUUGAGCCUUGACAUUGUAGGAGAACCAGGUUAGUGUAGAGGAGCAUUUCUCAACCUUGGCAACUUUAAGAU